UGACCACAUCAUAUUGAAACACCCAUUUGCAUACAAUCACCAAAGUUAAGCAACUUCAAGCCUGGUUAGUAUUUAGAUGGGUGACUGCUUGGGAAUACCAGGUGCUGUAAG